UAGGGAAUAUUGGACAAUGGGCGAAAGCCUGAUCCAGCCAUGCCGCGUGUGUGAAGAAGGUCUUCGGAUUGUAAAGCACUUUAAGUUGGGAGGAAGGGCAGUUACCUAAUACGUGAUUGUUUUGACGUUACCGACAGAAUAAGCACCGGCUAACUCUGUGCCAGCAGCCGCGGUAAUACAGAGGGUGCAAGCGUUAAUCGGAAUUACUGGGCGUAAAGCGCGCGUAGGUGGUUAGUUAAGUUGGAUGUGAAAUCCCCGGGCUCAACCUGGGAACUGCAUUCAAAACUGACUGACUAGAGUAUGGUAGAGGGUGGUGGAAUUUCCUGUGUAGCGGUGAAAUGCGUAGAUAUAGGAAGGAACACCAGUGGCGAAGGCGACCACCUGGACUGAUACUGACACUGAGGUGCGAAAGCGUGGGGAGCAAACAGGAUUAGAUACCCCUGUAGUCCCUGAGCGGGCUGGCAAGGCGCAU
rnacentral:rRNA from 1 species